rnacentral:lncRNA from 1 species
AUAUAUAUAUAUAUAUAUAGAGUAGGACUAGAAUACUUUUACAAGUAUCACCUAAGUGAUACUUGUGUGUUUCUAGCCCUUGGAUGGAGAGAUGGGAGGUUGAGAUGAUGGGGGUAGGUGGUGGUAGGUGGAAUAGUGUUUGAUCCAAGGGCUAUUUGUAAUCAAAAAGUAGAUCCAAUGGCUAAAAAGGUGAUAGCAACUUGGGGAUGAUACUUGUAAAAGUAUCCUAGAUCAACUCUCUCUCUCUCUCUCUCUCUCUCUCU